rnacentral:rRNA from 1 species
GGGAUAACAGUUAGAAAUGACUGCUAAUACCGCAUAAGACCACAGGACCGCAUGGUGCGGUGGUAAAAACUCCGGUGGUAUGAGAUGGACCCGCGUCUGAUUAGCUAGUUGGUAAGGUAACGGCUUACCAAGGCGACGAUCAGUAGCCGACCCGAGAGGGUGACCGGCCACAUUGGGACUGAGACACGGCCCAAACUCCUACGGGAGGCAGCAGUGUGGAAUAUUGCACAAUGGGGGAAACCCUGAUGCAGCGACGCCGCGUGAGCGAUGAAGUAUUUCGGUAUGUAAAGCUCUAUCAGCAGGGAAGAAAAUGACGGUACCUGACUAAGAAGCACCGGCUAAAUACGUGCCAGCAGCCGCGGUAAUACGUAUGGUGCAAGCGUUAUCCGGAUUUACUGGGUGUAAAGGGAGCGUAGACGGAGAGGCAAGUCUGAUGUGAAACCCGGGGCUCAACCCCGGGACUGCAUUGGAAACUGUUUUUCUAGAGUGUCGGAGAGGUAAGUGGAAUUCCUAGUGUAGCGGUGAAAUGCGUAGAUAUUAGGAGGAACACCAGUGGCGAAGGCGGCUUACUGGACGAUGACUGA